GUAGUUAUGAUAUUGGUCAUUUAUUGGUUAUGAAUACAUUUUUCUUAAAUUCAUUUUUAUUUACAUUUUGUACAUUUUCUUGUUUGUCUUUACCGAGUGGGUCUAUAGUUCUGGAGCACUUUAUAUUAAAGGGAUAGUUUAUCCAAAAAAGGAAAAAAAAUCACUUACCAAAAUGUAUUCCGGAAUGCACAUAGUAAUUUUAUUUCAAUCAUCCAUUAUUCAGCUCUGUCCCAGGCUGUAAUUAGCGUUCUUAGCAUCCUCCAAAUUCAUGAAUGGAAACUGUUCGUCCCACUAAAGCAUUGCGGCAUUGUGAGUGGAAAACUACUCAAAAACACUCCAAACUAAGACUAGUGUUGUUGUUUAACUCAAAGAACAUGACAAUAUUUUAUUCUUUGAAAAAAGGUGUAAGUUUUGCGAUAUUAUUGUCAUUUCAAAUAAACUGGUUCUUCCUGUAUUAACUGGUCAGUAUUGUUCGCAAUCGCAUCAAUCUGCAUAUUCUUUUGGGAAGAGGAGGUAAAUAUGUCACAAAGGAAAAUACAUAUGACUCUGAUUACGACCAGGAAGAAGGUUGUUUCAAUGAGAGUACUUGUUUCAAUGAGAAUACAAUAGAGGCUAGGACAGCAGCUGAUGAUGGGGGAGAUGCUGAACCAGUCAAUCCCCAACCCGGGUCCCUUGUACCUUUCUUUGCAAACAAAACACAAUCGCAGCAUUUUUCCACAAUGUUAAAAGGCCACCGAUGGUAUUCAUGAUAAUGGGCCAACUAGAGAAACUCUGAACUCACGUAACUUCUGGAGGUUAAAGUUCACUCCCGCCCCGAUGACGUCAUUGCCAAAGGGCAGAACCUGUGUUGAGUGGUGUUGUAAUUGGUUGAACUAAUGUAUUAGUGUUACGGAAUUUCUUCAACUGAUGAAUACUUAAUUCUAUAAAUGAGUUACUAGUUUAAAGUCCUGAGUCCCUAUGUUUAGAUACAAAAAGGAAUGUAGGAGUGGGGGAUCUGGUAUUUGUUUAUGGUCGUCAUUGAAUGGUGUCAGUGGAUCAUUGGGUCCUCUGUCGAUCUGUCUGUCUGUUUAAACCAUCAGUGUAUCUGUUCUAAUUGGUGAAUUGCCAACACUGUGCCUAUAAGAAAAAGUUUGUUGGUGCCAGCUUGGAUUGACCAGAUUCCGCUGGCUGUUUUGUCAGUGUACAGUUUAAAAAGUCGUUGCUACCGCGACAAAUUACUGAAUGUAGUUUGAAGUGUUUUGGAAUAGUUUUCCGCUUUCAAUGCAGCUUGGCUGUAGUGGGACGAACAGUUUUCAUUCAUGAAUUUGGACGACGCUAAGAACGUUAAUUACAGCCGGGGACAGAGCUGGAUAAUGGAUGGUUGGAUUACUUUUGGCAAGUGAAUCUUUUGAAAUAUGACUUUUGGACGAACUAUCCCUUUAACUUACAUGUAAAUUGGGUUAAAAUGGACGUCUGAGAGUUGCCACAUGAAGUCAGAUGCUUUUGUCUUCUCUUGGUACUGAUCUCCACACAUUCCUGCCUUCCCCCAACCUCCUUUCCUUGUUUCCUCUUCUUCACUCAUCCUCCCAUACCUACUUAUCCUCUCCCUCCUCUUCCUUUUUCCAGAAGCCUGUCCCCUUCCUCCGCUUCGCCUCCCCCUCCAAUCUGCGGCUGUUGCAUGAUUCAUGCUCCCUAACAGUGAGCCUUGUGGACAUGAAUAUAUAUGUCUGUGAUUAUAUAAUAUAAGCCCUUACGCAACACACACACACACAGAUUCACAUGGGGUGAUGGCAUUCGGGGAUAGAGCUUGUGUUUCUUGUUUGGAUUAAGCCAAAUCCCGCCCAGUCUCCAAAACACAUACACACAUUCGUGCGUACAAAAACACAUAUGCAUGUGUGUGGCUACAGGCUUACUCAGACAUUUAUGAAAAUCAAAAAAUGCUUUUAGUUCACAUGCUUACACCAAAAGAUUUUAAAACACACAGAGAGUGGGAUUUACGUGAGGCUCAUUCUUAACGCAGCUUUAGCUCUCUCCAGCUCUUCGAAAAGACAGGAUUUGUGGUAUAAAUUCUAAAUAAGUUUCCUUGCAUUUCUGUGCCAAGACCACGGCAGUCAUACCUCCAAGAACGUAACGCUUUAAUAUGACUGUGCUAAAUGCUUGAAAUCUCUGUCAUGUCACUACGAUAAUCGCGGGUAAAAACAUAAAAGAAUACGUUUCUUGUUUCACAUCCUGUUGCUGACUUGUCUCCAUGGUAACUGGUCUCCAUGGUGAUAGGAUGCAUUUCCCAGAACAGGGUCUGCACGGUUUACUUCCAUCUGUGGCUCCCUUACAUGUCCCAGUCUCCGGUUCCUUCUCUGCCUCGACCUCGCAGGCACCAUACGUCACAGGCCCAAAGAUGGGGGACGGACUGUUAGGGUGAACAUGUUCUAGAUCCAUGGUGGAACAUGACACGCUGUCAAGGUAUCUCUGAAGGUUCAAGGCCUGUGUCGCGGAUAUCUCAUCCGCUUGGGUCUCAGGGGCGAUGUGAAGCUAAGGAGGGGUGGGGGGUGGGGGGGGGGGGGGUGAGAACAGAGUUAGAGAGGAUGGGACGAGGACCGGGAGAGAGCGAGAUUAAGGAUUGAGAUAGAACAGGGGGACGAUGAAGGAGGGGGUGAGUGACUGGUGCAAGGCUUUAUUUAGCCCAUGCCUGCAGGUGUUGCCUAGUAACAGAAUUGAAACGAGGAAAGUGCGCAUAUUGCCUUUUCUUUUUCUUUUGCUUGUUCUAAAUCUCUAUCUGUUUUUGCUGUUUCCUCACUGCUAUGCGUCACGCAGAUUCCGUCCAUGCAUUGGGACUGUAGUGGAGGAAGCUUUGAUCUGUCGUACUGUGGUGUGUUCCGGUGCCUGGAGACACCUCAGCAGUCCUGGAUCAAACAACCAUCCCUUUCUCCUCUCUAAUGGCCGGGUGGUCUUUUCUUUAUAAUGCACUAAGUCAGUCACUCCAGUGUUGCUAACUCCUCCCACGGAGUGACACACUGAGACAGGGGGACGUGGUAUUGCAUGGUAAUGUUAAGAGGCACAUUCCCUUGAGGUUCCUGUAGGGUUUUCUAUAUCCAUGCCUAUACUCAGACACCUCCCAAAUGAUUAACACCCCUGACGAAAAUGAGCAAAACGGACUAUUUUGAAGGCACACAACAAUCUGAGAAAACGAUAUCACUUCAUUGCAACACCAUAGCUCACAGAAUAGGUUUUAUUUUUAAUGUAAUUUUGAUUAUAUAUUUUUUUUUAAAUGACCCGAGUGCAUUGUCAUCUUCAAGCACAGAAAGCAAAGAAGAGUCAAAUAGCCACAUUCGGACAGCUACGGAGGAGGCAUUUUGGCAUCUCUGAGUAUCCAAAUCUAGAAUUUGGCUCCACCUACACUCCAAUAGCAUAUUUGGUAGAUAUGAACAACAAGCCUUUAUUGAAGGAAACUAACGAACGGAGUUGUUAAAAACUAUUGGGCCUUGGAUUGGUACCAGGUUCUAUGGUUAGGUAUAAAUAAAAUGAUUUGGUCACACAUCAGUGGUGGGUUUGGUGUCAUUCUGGCGUACAUUGUUUUGGGAAAUGCUGUACAUAUAUAAUAUGAGAAAUGGGUCUUUUUAGUUGACCAUCUAGAAUUAUUGAUGUAAUUAACAGUGUUCAGUUACAUUAUUUAUGUCUAUCAUUUUGGAAGUGAUUAUAUGAAGUGGUAUACCUUUAUCCCCAUUUUUAUAAUCGUUAUCUUUUUCUAUUGACAGGAACAUGUUAGAAAUGCAGAUGAGCUAGAUGAGGGGAAUACAGUCCAGGAAGGGAUUGGUGAGACAGAGUUUAGCACAUCGAGGUCUAACUGGAUACAGUGUCAGGAAAUUAAACCCAGUUCUUUAUUAGCAGACACACAGGCACAGAAACACACUGUUAAUGGCACUCUAACACCAGCCCUAAAGGACAUAGACACCCAUUCCAAACAGUCAUCCAUAAAUGAUGUAUGAGUGCAGCAGUAUAAAGUUAUUACUCAUCCACUGACCUAAACAACUCACCCUUCCAACUCAGCCCUUCUUCCUCCUCCAAACCUCCCUAACUCAACACCUUCUUCCUCCUCCGAACCUCCUUAACUCAACACCUUCUUCCUCCUCCGAACCUCCUUAACUCAACACCUUCUUUCUCCUCCGAACCUCCCUAAGUCAACACCUUCUUCCUCCUCCGAACCUCCCUCACUCAACACCUUCUUCCUCC
ensembl:lncRNA